GCAAGUCGAACGAACUCGGACUUCGGUCCACAUGAGUGAGUGGAGAACGGGUGAGUAACACGUGAGAAACCUGCCCCGAAGUCGGGAAUAACUCAGGGAAACUUGAGCUAAUACCUGAUGCCCUCUUUGAGUCGCAUGGCUGAAAGAGGAAAGAUUUAUCGGUUUGGGAGGGACUCGCGACCUAUCAGCUAGUUGGUGAGGUAACGGCUCACCAAGGCAUCGACGGGUAGCUGGUUUGAGAGAACGAUC
rnacentral:rRNA from 1 species